CAUUGAUAUAGUCAAAUAUUAAAUCUGCCACCCAUAAUACCAAAGCACUAUCUAGUGCAAGUGGCAAAGUGGUCCUGUGUUCGAAUCCAGUUUGCAGCAUUAUAGGUCGUGUGUUCGAUCUCGGUUUGCAUCCAGUUUGCAGCAUUAUAGCUUCCUUGAAGGAUUGAGGCUCUAACAUUGCUGAAAAAACUGAACAACAUAGUCCUUGAUCCAAAUUGAAGGCUUUGUACUUCGUGUAGUUUUCCUUGCUAAAACAACAACUAUAGGUUAUGAAUCAAGGUUAGGAUCUGUAGAUGAUGCAGAAGGGAGAGCAAGUGUAGGGGGUACUUCAUGGACAAUUGCAUUAGACUCUGUCAUGUGUUCAUCAACUGCAAAAGAUAUAUUUUGUGUAGAGUCUUCUGAUAAGCUUGACUCUACUAAGUUAUAUAGUGGUGGAAUCCCUUGAGCAUCAGCUAAAAUACUUGCAUCACAAACAAAAGGUGAGAGUAAAGGUGCAAGAUUCUCUGCAUCAGCAUUAUGUGGUGUUGCUUUGAACGAAAAGAAUUGCUCCUUGAAAGUCAUAUCUCUACUGAUGAACACACUCUGUGUCUGUAAAUCAUAAAGAUUGUAUCCUUUUUGUGUAGUGGAAUAGCCAAGUAACACUGACUUCUUUGCUCUCACAUCAAACUUAUCUCCUUUUGGCAACAUACUUGCAAAACAUAAACAACCAAAUACUCUUAAAUGUGCAAUAAUAGGUGGUUGUCCAAAUAGCCUUUCAUAGGGAGAUUUACUAUGCAAUAAGGUUGUAGGUAAUCUAUUUAUCAAGUAGGCUGUUGUCAAAAUAGAAUCACCCCAAAACCUACUCGGGACUUGUGACUGUAAUUUCAAGGCCCUGCCUACCUCUAACAAAUGCCUGUGUUUUCUUUCAACCACACAAUUUUGUUGUGGUGUGUGUGGGCAACUACUCUGAUGUAUAAUACCAUAUUGUUACAACAAAUCAUUCAUAUAUGCAUUGAAAAAUUCAGUCCCA